rnacentral:rRNA from 1 species
UUGAACGCUGGCGGCAUGCUUUACACAUGCAAGUCGAACGGCAACAGGCCUUCGGGUGCUGACGAGUGGCGAACGGGUGAGUAAUGCAUCGGAACGUACCCAGAGGUGGGGGAUAACGCAGCGAAAGCUGUGCUAAUACCGCAUGUGAUCUGAGGAUGAAAGCGGGGGACCGAGCAGCAAUGUUUGGCCUCGCGCCUUUGGAGCGGCCGAUGUCGGAUUAGCUAGUUGGUGGGGUAAAGGCCUACCAAGGCGACGAUCCGUAGCUGGUCUGAGAGGACGACCAGCCACACUGGGACUGAGACACGGCCCAGACUCCUACGGGAGGCAGCAGUGGGGAAUUUUGGACAAUGGGCGCAAGCCUGAUCCAGCAAUGCCGCGUGCGGGAAGAAGGCCUUCGGGUUGUAAACCGCUUUUGGCAGGAACGAAACGGUGUCCGCUAAUACCGGGCGCUAAUGACGGUACCUGCAGAAUAAGCACCGGCUAACUACGUG